GACCUAGUGGUGAAGGUAAUCACACCUGCUUCCACUGCAGCUUCAAACGUAGUGCGGCAGGAAUCCCUGGUUCGACUCCAGGCUAGGUCU